GGUUAAGCGACUAAGCGUACACGGUGGAUGCCCUGGCAGUCAGAGGCGAUGAAGGACGUGCUAAUCUGCGAAAAGCGUCGGUAAGGUGAUAUGAACCGUUAUAACCGGCGAUGUCCGAAUGGGGAAACCCAGUGUGAUUCGUCACACUAUCGUUAACUGAAUACAUAGGUUAACGAGGCGAACCGGGGGAACUGAAACAUCUAAGUACCCCGAGGAAAAGAAAUCAACCGAGAUUCCCCCAGUAGCGGCGAGCGAACGGGGAGCAGCCCAGAGUCUGAAUCAGCUUGUGUGUUAGUGGAACGGUCUGGAAAGUCCGACGGUACAGGGUGAUAGUCCCGUACACCAAAAUGCACAGGCUGUGAACUCGAAGAGUAGGGCGGGACACGUGGUAUCCUGUCUGAAUAUGGGGGGACCAUCCUCCAAGGCUAAAUACUCCUGACUGACCGAUAGUGAACCAGUACCGUGAGGGAAAGGCGAAAAAGAACCCCGGCGAGGGGAGUGAAAAAGAACCUGAAACCGUGUACGUACAAGCAGUGGGAGCACCUUCGGGUGUGACUGCGUACCUUUUGUAUAAUGGGUCAGCGACUUAUAUUCU
rnacentral:ncRNA from 1 species